GCAAACUUGGUCAUUUAGAGGAAGUAAAAGUCGUAACAAGGUUUCCGUAGGUGAACCUGCGGAAGGAUCAUUAUUGAAUAAAUUUGAACAGGUUGUUGCUGGCUCCUCUGCUUUGGGAGUAUGUGCACACUUGUCAUCUUUAUUUUCUCCAAAUUGUGCACAUAUUGUAGGCUUAUGAAAGUUUAUUCAAAUGAAUAGAAUUGAGGAUUGCUGUGCUUGAAAAGUUCAGCUCUGCCUUGCACUUCCAAAGUCUAUGUUAUUUUUCACAAACUAUGAAAAUGGGUUUCAGAAUGUUGUAUAAGUAUAAAAAUAUCUACAACUUUCAGCAACGGAUCUCUUGGCUCUCGCAUCGAUGAAGAACGCAGC
rnacentral:misc_RNA from 1 species